rnacentral:misc_RNA from 1 species
UGCGUGCGAUCACACUGUUAGUGUCAGUCAGUGCUUGAGUGUGUCGGGGUGAGGGGAGUGGCACUCCUGCUACUGUAUGUGACGUGUGCCAGGUUAUGCACCGUGGGUAUAAUGCACCUACGGCGAGUGGCGAAGGCAUGGCGACUCCACUGGCUGCUCUUACUCUUCAUCUGUAUUCUAGUUGCUCUCAAUAUAUUAUAUACAUCAUUCACGAAGAGAAACCACCUUAGGUCUAAUGUGCAUGAUCAGGCAGUUCUUGGUUCUGGGCAGUUCGUGUCUCCUGAUGCAUAUCUUCAAGAACUUCACCAAAAAGGGGCUCUGCCUCAGUUGCUGUCUGUGAGAGAACGCUUGACCCCCCCUGUACCCGUCGUUAAGAAGGAACUCAGCUUUGGUGUACACGAGGAGGAGAACUCUGCUCGAGAAGUUCUGGAUAUGGAGGCCAAUGAGAGAGAUGUUAAACAGGGUCAUAUACUGGAUGCUGAUGCUGCAAAUGAAGUAAAUUCGGUUGAACCUGAUACUAAUGGAAAUCAUUUGGAAGAUGAAAAUAUUGACGAAAUGCAAGUAACAGAACUAGAAGCACAUGACAGUUUUCACGAGCUUCCCUUGCAACAAGGAGAUAAUUUCAAAGUAGAGAAUGCUUCAUUUUCUUGGGGAAGUGUUCAGAACUGGAGAUCUUUAAAUGAAGAUGAAGUACAGAGGUUGUCUGUAUUGGGACGAAGACUGUAUUUAAAUGAAAAAAUAGGUAAAGUGAAAAAUAGAACUUUUAGUAUUUUAGUUUGGAAAAGUGGUCCUGCUAUUGAAAGACGUUUACUCAAGGAAUAUGGCAAGAAAAGAAAAGACCCCUUUCGUAAAUGUUCUGCUCACAACUGCAGGCUUACUUACAGAGACGAGGCAGCAAAGACAGCAGAUGCUAUUUUGAUCCAUCUCCAUCGCACGGAAGGACCUCACACCUUCCCAAACCGAACCAAAAUAAGUCAAAGAUGGAUCUGGUUAACAGAUGAGUCUCCAUACAACACCUUUAUGGUGGCUAAAGAUAAUAAUAUGGCAAAUUACAAUGGUUACUUCAAUUGGUCAAUGAGCUACAGGAUGGACAGUGAUGUCCCAGUACCGUACGGUAGAACAGUGGAGAUGUCUCCAGACGAGGCUGCCUCAUAUCAAUACGUUGAUUAUUUCAAACUAAAGCCAAAAACUGUAGCAAUACUAGGAUCAAACUGUGGGGGUAUAAAUAGAAGAUGGGCAUAUGUGAGAGAACUGAAGAAGCACAUGGAAGUAGAUGCAUAUGGAGGCUGUGGCAACCUGAAGUGUCCGGGACAUUUCACUAAGGACUGCGAAGCUCUUAAUGACUACAAAUUUUAUUUAGCAUUUGAAAAUGGAGAUUGUCGUGAAUAUAUAACAGAGAAGGUUUGGUGGAAUGCCUUGGGGAAGGGAGCUGUUCCUGUGGUAAUGGGGGCACCAGUGCAAGACUAUAAAAAGAUCCUGCCACCCAAUUCAUUCAUACACAUCAAUGAUUUUCCAUCUCCUCGGCAUCUUGCCAAACACCUAAUCUGCACAACAUGACAGAGGAUGAAGGAAGCCCAUAAAGGGGAUUGAGAUCUGACCAGAACUUCCUGGAGAAAAUUUCCUUCACUGCAACUGAAGGCAACCUGAACGUGGAGCUGCCAAACCCUGACAUCAUCACAUAGAGCCGAGGUUCUUGGCUUCAAACCCCGAGGCAUACAGCAAAUACCAUGACUGGCGCUCCAGAUAUCGGGUGCUGAAUGAACACGGAUACUUCGCCUCACAAGUCUUUCAUUAUUGCCGCAUAUGUGAAGCGCUCAACUAUAAU